rnacentral:rRNA from 1 species
UACAGAGGGUGCAAGCGUUAAUCGGAAUUACUGGGCGUAAAGCGUGCGUAGACGGUUACAUAAGUCGGGUGUGAAAGCCCCGGGCUCAACCUGGGAAUUGCAUUCGAGACUGCGUAGCUGGGGUGCGGAAGAGGGAAGCGGAAUUUCCGGUGUAGCGGUGAAAUGCGUAGAUAUCGGAAGGAACACCAGUGGCGAAAGCGGCUUCCUGGUCCAGCACCGACGUUCAGGCACGAAAGCGUGGGGAGCAAACAGG